rnacentral:rRNA from 1 species
AUGAACGCUGGCGGCGUGCUUAACACAUGCAAGUCGAACGGAAAGGCCAAGCUUGCUUGGGUACUCGAGUGGCGAACGGGUGAGUAACACGUGGGUGAUCUGCCCUGCACUUCGGGAUAAGCCUGGGAAACUGGGUCUAAUACCGGAUAGGACCACUUCUUGGAUGUUGUGGUGGAAAGUUUUUUCGGUGUGGGAUGAGCUCGCGGCCUAUCAGCUUGUUGGUGGGGUAAUGGCCUACCAAGGCGUCGACGGGUAGCCGGCCUGAGAGGGUGUACGGCCACAUUGGGACUGAGAUACGGCCCAGACUCCUACGGGAGGCGGCAGUGGGGAAUAUUGCACAAUGGGCGCAAGCCUGAUGCAGCGACGCCGCGUGGGGGAUGACGGCCUUCGGGUUGUAAACUCCUUUCGCUAGGGACGAAGCGUUUUGUGACGGUACCUGGAGAAGAAGCACCGGCUAACUACGUG